CAAUAGCGUAUAUUAAAGUUGUUGCAGUUAGAACGCUCGUAGUCGGAUUUCGGGGCGGGCCGACCGGUCUGCCGAUGGGUACGCACUGGUCGGCGCGUCCUUCCUUCCGGAGACCGUUCCUACUCUUAACUGAGCGGGGGCGGGAGACGGAUCGUUUACUUUGAAAAAAUCAGAGUGUUUCAAGCAGGCAGCUCGCUCUUGCAUGGAUUAGCAUGGGAUAAUGAAAUAGGACUUUGGUGCUAUUUUGUUGGUUUCGAACACCGAAGUAAUGAUUAAAAGGGACAGUCAGGGGCACUCGUAUUCCGCCGAGAGAGGUGAAAUUCUCAGACCAGCGGAAGACGAACUACUGCGAAANCANNNGCCAGGGAUGUUUUCACNGA
rnacentral:rRNA from 1 species